rnacentral:lncRNA from 1 species
CCAAAUUUUUCCUUCCGGUGCCUUCUCUUUUGACUCACUUCGGAGGAAGGAGCAUGUUACUCAUUUCGUUUAUUUUUUUUAUUUUUUUAAAAAUUAUAACUAUCCGAUCCGCUAGUACUAAUAACUCGUUGGAUCCAAACUAUCGGCUCAAAAUGUUUAACCCUAGUUAUUAUUACUAGUAUAUAGACCUCAUAUAUAUUUUAAUCAGAAUCAUUUUCAGAAUCAACGUUACAAACUCUUCUUGUUUAGACCCUGACGUCCUCAUUGGGUCCAAACCAGAUCACAUAUGCAGAUUAGAAUUACCAGGCAAUGUAAGAUUCAAGAAAUCUUGGCUCCUAUGGACGGGUUCAAGAGGUGGUUCCCAUCAAAUCCGAUGGUGUAACACUUUGUCCCGCAUAGCUCUCACAUUUCCGACUGGUAAGCUGGCUCUGAUACUAUUUGUAACGAUCCGACCUGCUAAUAAUAAUAACUCGUUAUGUUCAAACCACGGGCCCAACAUACUUAAGUCCAAUUAUUAUUACUAGUAUAUACGUCUCAUAUAUAUUCUAACCAGAAUCAUUUUUCCAUCUGAUGUGGGUGAGACUGGUCCAACCAUCAAGCCUUUUUUGUGCCUUACA